CCUACGGGAGGCAGCAGUGAGGAAUAUUGGUCAAUGGGCGCGAGCCUGAACCAGCCAAGUAGCGUGAAGGAUGACUGCCCUACGGGUUGUAAACCUCUUUUAUAAAGGAAUAAAAUGAGGCACGUGUGCCGUUUUGUCUGUACCUUAUGAAUAAGGAUCGGCUAACUCCGUGCCAGCAGCCGCGGUAAUACGGAGGAUCCGAGCGUUAUCCGGAUUUAUUGGGUUUAAAGGGUGCGUAGAUGGGUUGUUAAGUCAGUUGUGAAAGUUUGCGGCUAAACCGUAAAAUUGCCAUUGAUACUGGCAGGCUUGAGUACAGUUGAGGUAGGCGGAAUUCGUGGUGUAGCGGUGAAAUGCUUAGAUAUCACGUAGAACUCCGAUUGCGAAGGCAGCUUACUAAACUGAGACUGACGUUGAUGCACGAAAGUGUGGGUAUCAAACAGGAUUAGAUACCCUGGUAGUC
rnacentral:rRNA from 1 species